rnacentral:rRNA from 1 species
AGAGUUUGAUCAUGGCUCAGAAUCAACGCUGGCGGCGUGCCUAACACAUGCAAGUCGAACGCGGUUAGUAGCAAUACUAACUGAGUGGCGAACGGGUGAGUAACGCGUGGGUGACCUACCUUCGAGCGGGGGAUAACGUCCCGAAAGGGACGCUAAUACCGCAUGACAUCCUGCCUUUGAACAGGUGGAGAUCAAAGCUGGGGAUCGCAAGACCUAGCACUCGAGGAGGGGCCCGCGCCUGAUUAGCUAGUUGGUGAGGUAACGGCUCACCAAGGCUUCGAUCAGUAUCCGGCCUGAGAGGGCGGACGGACACACUGGGACUGAGACACGGCCCAGACUCCUACGGGAGGCAGCAGUGGGGAAUAUUGCGCAAUGGGCGAAAGCCUGACGCAGCCACGCCGCGUGAGCGAUGAAGGUCUUCGGAUCGUAAAGCUCUGUGGGGAGAGAAGAAUCAAGCCGGUGAAGAGCCGGCCCUGACGGUAUCUCCUUAGCAAGCACCGGCUAACUCCGUGCCAGCAGCCGCGGUAAUUC